rnacentral:rRNA from 1 species
UACGAAGGGGGCUAGCGUUGCUCGGAAUCACUGGGCGUAAAGGGUGCGUAGGCGGGUCUUUAAGUCAGGGGUGAAAUCCUGGAGCUCAACUCCAGAACUGCCUUUGAUACUGAGGAUCUUGAGUUCGGGAGAGGUGAGUGGAACUGCGAGUGUAGAAGUGAAAUUCGUAGAUAUUCGCAAGAACACCAGUGGCGAAGGCGGCUCACUGGCCCGAUACUGACGCUGAGGCACGAAAGCGUGGGGAGCAAACAGG